AGUGAAGUGCCUGAUAAAAGGAUUAUCGUGAUAGGAUAAAUUAUGUAAAUUUAAACAUUACCUUCUCUA
rnacentral:tRNA from 3 species